rnacentral:rRNA from 1 species
GACGAACGCUGGCGGCGUGCUUAACACAUGCAAGUCGAACGGAAAGGCCUGCUUUCCCUUGUGGAUUGCGGGUACUCGAGUGGCGAACGGGUGAGUAACACGUGAGUGAUCUGCCCCCAACUUGUGUAUAAGCCUGGGAAACUGGGUCUAAUUCCCGAUAGGACUGCAGUGGGGUGCCUGUGGUUGAAAACGAUGUUCUAGUGGUUGGGGAUGAGCUCGCGGCCUAUCAGCUUGUGGGUGGGGUAAUGCCGUACCAAUGCGGCGAAGGGUAGCCGGCCUGGGAGGGUGGGCGGCCACGGUGGGACGGCGAUCCGGCCCAGACUCCUGCGACAGGCAGCAGUGGGGAAUAUGGCAGAAUGGGCGGAAGCCUGAUGCAGGGACGCCGCGUGGGGGAUGACGGCCUUCGGGUUGUAAACUCCUUUCGACCGCGAGGAAGCCACCUGGUUGGAAGGGUGGUGACGGUAGUGGUAGAAGAAGCCCCGCCUACCUCCGU